GGUAAUUCCAGCUCCAAUAGCGUAUAUUAAAAUUGUUGCAGUUAAAAAGCUCGUAGUUGAAUUUCUGCUGCAUUGCUUGAGUCCCUCUGGGGUCUGUGCAUGUGGCUUUUUUCGGACGGAGUUUCUUUGUCUGAAUGUUUACUUUGAGAAAAUUAGAGUGCUCAAAGCAGGCUUUCGCCUUGAAUAGUUUAGCAUGGAAUAAUAAAGUAGGACUUUGGUUCUAUUUUGUUGGUUUUAGGUACCAAAGUAAUGGUUAAUAGGAACAGUUGGGGGCAUUCGUAUUUAACUGUCAGAGGUGAAAUUCUUAGAUUUGUUAAAGACGAACUACUGCGAAAGCAUUUGCCAAGGAUGUUUUCAUUAAUCAAGAACGAAAGUUAGGGGAUCGAAGACGAUCAGAUACCGUCGUAGUCCUAACCAUAAACUAUGCCGACUAGAGAUUGGAGGUCGUCAGUUUUUACGAC
rnacentral:rRNA from 1 species